GGGAGCACAGGAUCUUGGGCUGUGUCUGCUCAGUGCCCUGGGAUCUGGGGUCUGUGCUGCUGGAAUCACGCUCCUGGGGCCCUGGCUCCU
rnacentral:pre_miRNA from 1 species